GUCGAACGGCAGCACGGGUGCUUGCACCUGGUGGCGAGUGGCGAACGGGUGAGUAAUACAUCGGAAUGUACCUUGUAGUGGGGGAUAGCUCGGCGAAAGCCGGAUUAAUACCGCAUACGCUCUGAGGAGGAAAGCGGGGGACCUUCGGGCCUCGUGCUACAAGAGCAGCCGAUGUCAGAUUAGCUAGUUGGUGGGGUAAAAGCUCACCAAGGCGACGAUCUGUAGCUGGUCUGAGAGGACGACCAGCCACACUGGGACUGAGACACGGCCCAGACUCCUACGGGAGGCAGCAGUGGGGAAUUUUGGACAAUGGGCGAAAGCCUGAUCCAGCAAUGCCGCGUGUGUGAAGAAGGCCUUCGGGUUGUAAAGCACUUUUGUCCGGAAAGAAAUCCCUUGGGAUAAUACCUCGGGGGGAUGACGGUACCGGAAGAAUAAGCACCGGCUAACUACGUGCCAGCAGCCGCGGUAAUACGUAGGGUGCAAGCGUUAAUCGGAAUUACUGGGCGUAAAGCGUGCGCAGGCGGUUUUGUAAGACGGAUGUGAAAUCCCCGGGCUUAACCUGGGAACUGCAUUCGUGACUGCAAGGCUAGAGUAUGGCAGAGGGGGGUAGAAUUCCACGUGUAGCAGUGAAAUGCGUAGAGAUGUGGAGGAAUACCGAUGGCGAAGGCAGCCCCCUGGGCCAAUACUGACGCUCAUGCACGAAAGCGUGGGGAGCAAACAGGAUUAGAUACCCUGGUAGUCCACGCCCUAAACGAUGUCAACUAGUUGUUGGGGAUUCAUUUCCUUAGUAACGAAGCUAACGCGUGAAGUUGACCGCCUGGGGAGUACGGUCGCAAGAUUAAAACUCAAAGGAAUUGACGGGGACCCGCACAAGCGGUGGAUGAU
rnacentral:rRNA from 1 species